rnacentral:snRNA from 1 species
GGAUGUGAAGGUGAUCUGGCUGAGACAUCUGUCACCCCAUUGAUCGCCAGGGUUGAUUCAGCUGAUCUGGGUGGCUGAGCGGGUGUCCCCUUCCUCCCUCACUGCUCCAUGUGUGUCCCUCCGGAAGCUGCGCACUCGGUCGAAGAGGACGACCAUCCCCGAUAGAGGACGACCAUCCCCGAUAGAGGAGGACCGUUCUUCGGUCAAGGGUAUACGAGUAGCUGCACUCCCCUGCUAGAACCUCCAAACAAGCUCUCAAGGUCCUCUCUCACUUUGGAAAGACUGUUUAACAGCUGUAGGUUUGAGGUCCUUCAUUUAACAAUGGGCCUACGACUAAUCUCAUUUAGUU